UAGGGAAUCUUCCACAAUGGACGCAAGUCUGAUGGAGCAACGCCGCGUGAGUGAAGAAGGUUUUCGGACCGUAAAGCUCUGUUGUUGGUGAAGAAGGAUAGAGGUAGUAACUGGCCUUUAUUUGACGGUAAUCAACCAGAAAGUCACGGCUAACUACGUGCCAGCAGCCGCGGUAAUACGUAGGUGGCAAGCGUUGUCCGGAUUUAUUGGGCGUAAAGCGAGCGCAGGCGGAAGAAUAAGUCUGAUGUGAAAGCCCUCGGCUUAACCGAGGAAUUGCAUCGGAAACUGUUUUCUUGAGUGCAGAAGAGGAGAGUAGAACUCCAUGUGUAGCGGUGGAAUGCGUAGAUAUAUGGAAGAAUACCAGUGGCGAAGGCGGCUCUCUGGUCUGCAACUGACGCUGAGGCUCGAAAGCAUGGGUAGCGAACAGGAUUAGAUACCCUGGUAGUCCAUGCC
rnacentral:rRNA from 1 species